GCCGGAGUGGCGGAAAUGGCAGACGCAAGGGACUUAAAAUCCCUCGGAUGGUUAACAUCCGUGCCGGUUCGAUUCCGGCCUCCGGCACCA
rnacentral:tRNA from 1 species